rnacentral:rRNA from 2 species
UACAGAGGUGCCAAGCGUUAGGCGGAAUCACUGGGCUUAAAGCGCGUGUAGGCGGGUCGUUAAGUGUCCGAGUGAAAUCCCACGGCUCAACCGUGGAACUGCCGGGCAUACUGGCGAUCUUGAGGCAUUCAGGGGCGAGCGGAACAAAUGGUGGAGCGGUGAAAUGCGUAGAUAUCAUUUGGAACGCCAAUGGUGAAAACAGCUCGCUGGGAAUGAUCUGACGCUGAGACGCGAAAGCCAGGGGAGCGAACGGG